CACGUAGGGUGCGAGCGUUGUCCGGAAUUAUUGGGCGUAAAGAGCUCGUAGGCGGUUUGUCGCGUCUGCCGUGAAAGUCCGGGGCUCAACUCCGGAUCUGCGGUGGGUACGGGCAGACUAGAGUGAUGUAGGGGAGACUGGAAUUCCUGGUGUAGCAGUGAAAUGCGUAGAUAUCAGGAGGAACGCCAAUGGCGAAGGCAAGUCUCCUGGA
rnacentral:rRNA from 1 species